UACGGAGGGUGCUAGCGUUGUUCGGAAUUACUGGGCGUAAAGAGUGCGUAGGCGGUCUUACAAGUUGGGAGUGAAAUCCCGGGGCUCAACCCCGGAAUUGCUUUCAAAACUGUAAGACUUGAGUAUGGUAGGGGAUAGUGGAAUUCUUAGUGUAGGGGUGAAAUCCGUAGAUAUUAAGAGGAACACUAGAGGCGAAGGCGACUAUCUGGGCCAUUACUGACGCUAAGGUACGAAAGCGUGGGGAGCGAACGGG
rnacentral:misc_RNA from 1 species